GCAAAAAAAAUGUUUUUUGAAUUAUUUUUUUUAACACUGAUAACAAUAACCAUUAUUACUAAAUCAGCACCAACAAUAAUUGAUAAUAAUUGAGCACCAAAUCAGCAUAGAAUGAUUUACGUCACACGGAAGACUGAAAUAAUGAUGCUGAAAAUUCAGCUUUAUACCAUACAAGAAUAAAUUACAUCUUAAAACAUAGAUGUGUAGAUUUUUUUUAUUAUUAUGUGUAUUUAAUUAUAAGAAUUAUUCAAACACAGAGAUAUACUGUAAAAUUAAAAAUGUAUUAUUUAUAUAAUAAUAUAUAUAUAUAUAUAUAUAUAUAUAUUUUUUUUUUUUAUAGAACAGUAAAAACAACGUUACAACAAUGAUAUAUUUGCCCAUACAUGUUGAAAUGUCCUGUGGUCUGCCUUCAGCCUCAAUACAUGCAUCCUCAUUUUAAUAGUAAUUAUUUUGAUGGAAGUUGUUGUGAUUCUUCAACACACAUAUUUUUUUGUAAAAUGGCACAGUGUGGGGUGUACACCCAACAUGAGUCAGUUAAAUUUGUUUGCUUUUGCUUCAAAACUAAUUUCUGGAUAAAACUGCACGUACGUGCAUGCAGUUCUGUAUGUUUGUUUUGGUGUGCAUAGCUGCGCUACGAACAAAGUUGUGACUAUAAGCAAUAAGAUUUGAUUCCAUGGGUGGGUAAGAGCGUGUGCAUCAGUGCAGCUUUUGUCUGAGCAUGCAUCUGUGCGUGUGAGCAUGCAUGUGUGUGUUGUGUUUGAGUGUGUAUGCAUUUUGUGGCCUCUGGGUCUUCCUGUGAGUCAUUCUCAUGAGGUAAACCCCAGUAAAGCUGUCCUAGUCCUCUCUAAUUCCUCAUUAGCUCACGGCAGGCUGUCUCAGGGGGAUUUGUGCUGCCUGUGUGAGUGUGUGUCCGGGUGUGUGUUAGUUUGAGCCCAUGCGGUCUGAACGUGGAGAACCACAGGGCCUCUCUGUGGGAGACUGCUGUGAGCCAGGUGUGUGUCCGCUGGCAGGUGCUUGUGUGAGGGGGAGGAAGUGUUUAAACGAGCUCAUUGGGUGGGUCGGCACAGCGGUGCAUUAACUAGAUCACAGUUUGGGAUGUUCUUCUCGGCUUAUAAACUGUUGGUGUAUUAUAGCCUGUUAAAACACUUCUCUGGGACGUUCUCAUGGCGUUAACCCUCACAAAAAAGUACCGCGGUACAGUCAUGUUAUUAGGUGGUCAUACUGAAUAAUAAUCAUAUUCAUCAGAUAACUUUUUUAGCAUGUUUUCCUUUGUAAAGGACUUUUGAAACCAAGCAGUUCCUCAGCAGUGAAUGAUGCACCAUUGAAAUCAGAAAUGUUUUACAGGUCGAUGAUGGCAAAGUUACACCUCUAUUUUUAAAUGCACUGAGCUCAACAAAACAGGGACACUAAGCCCCCCUCUAACUGGGAUCAACUGUCUGCCUGCACAGUGGACGAGCUGCAUCCUGCCCACUGCACCCAAUUCACAGAGAAAUGUACUCAAAUCUUACAGGUCCUGGAACAAGACUGAAACCGGAACAGACCUGAAUAUUCAGUUACAGAUGCGUUUUCAUGCGAUUGUCCAAAAGGGGGGCAAGAAGCUGUAAAUGAUAUGCCAUGAGGAGAUCAUAUUAAUAUAAAACACACACACAAGCAUACCAACACACAAACAAACACACACAGACACACUCAAAAAUAAUCUCCCAGUACUUCUGUUGCAUUCCCACAAGAGUCACACCCAGUCAGAACAGUAACAUGAGAGCGUGUUUCACAGGGUCACUGCAUGCAUGGAAAUGACAGGACGCUCCGAGGUGGAAAACACACCGAUCGAUAUCUCCUCCACCAAACUCAGAGCGUUUGAUUCUUGAGUUCGAUUCAGAGCGAUAGCGGAUCUGAAGCACCCAGGGCAAGUCCCUGACACCGACGGCCCCGGCGGUUCGCCUCAGCGCUGGCACUCAGAAAGGGACAGCAAUAUCCACUGAUGUAAUGUGAGAGAUAGUGAUCUUUUAUGUGCUGCUUUAUAACUUGUGGGCGUAAUGUGAGUUUGGGGGGCGUGAGGGGGUGAUGAAGCAGUGUCGCUGGAAUCCGCAGUGUUGUGAGAGCUUCAUACCUUUCAGCUUCAUUAAACCAAUUUCACGCCGAGGUGAGCUAAGAGAGGAAACUCGGAGUCUCUGCCGCCGUAACAAUGGCGCAUUGAAGGGACGAGGCGAAAGUAAAUUAGGUACCACUUCACAGACGGCAAAUUAAAAUCUGAAAGUUGGAUAGGAAAAGUUGAGGGGGAGAUGAUUAUGUCUUUAUUGUGCUGCUCUCAAUCUAAAAAACCCUACCCAUCCUUUUAGCAACCACCUUUGCCCCCCACCCCCCAAGCCUCUCUGCUCAGAAGAAAUAAUGAUCUAUUUCUUGUGUGGUAAUUGGUUUCUAAGAUGCCCCUGCCAUAAAAAAGCACAGAUUUUGAAUCGUGAAGCUACUCUUAGCCUUCCUUUCAAUCACGUAAUUUGGUUCUUAUCAGUGAGAUAUGAUAUCCUGAGAGAAUCGUAUAAAUUAAACAUUAGUGUGAGUGCUUAUUUUUGUACUGUCAAUGUCAUGUCCAGAGGUGCUCAGAGGUGUGAUGUCUGUCAGGGCCUUUGCGUUAGAACCGAUUCUUCAUGUCCUUUAAUUUUAAGACACUGUCAAUGAAAUUAAAGAAAAAAAUAAUAAUUAUCAGUGGUCUGUCUGUGUGUGUAUGGCGUGGUGUGUGUACUGUGUGCUUUCUCUGAGGCAGUAGUAAUGUGACCCUACAAAGAAUAAAGGAGGCAGUGUAAACAGUGCGCAGUCAUUAGCGGUGUGAAAUCAGACACUGACAGUAGCAGGAAGAGCGCUGAGCACUGUUCUCUGUGUACUGAACACUGGGCUGGGUGUUGGUCAGGGAGACCUCAAAAAACAAACUUUCACAGUUCUUAAAAAUGUAGUUGAGCGUGGGGUAAGAUGUGUCAGUAGGAAAGAUACAUCACUACAUUAAUCUAGUAAGCUGUAUGUUGUCACAUGACCACACAUAGAAAUACCGCGUCACAUAGCUG